CCUCCAACCCCUGCUGUCAGCACCAGGCAAAGCUGCGAGGAACACGCUGUGACACCUCCCAGCUUCCUGACAGAGCCAGAGCCAAGGCCUGGGGCUCCUUCCUGUUCCUCUGCCCUCCUCGCAGCACUUCUCACCUUGCCCAUCCCUCCCAUCUUCCCCCAGGUCCUUCUGCUGGGAGCACCGCCCGCAGCAGGCAGUGGAGGCAGUGCCGAUGCAGGACACGACCUGCAUCAUCUGCAUGGAGCCCGUGGGUGACAGCAGGUCGUACAGCACCAUGGUGUGCCCAUCCUGCCGGCACGCCUGGUUCCACCGCGCCUGCAUCCAGGUAGGAGCCCCGGCCCUGUGGGCACGGCAGGC
rnacentral:lncRNA from 1 species